rnacentral:rRNA from 1 species
CCUACGGGAGGCAGCAGUGAGGAAUAUUGCACAAUGGUGGGGAGACUGAUCCAGCGACGCCGCGUGAGGGAGGAAGGAUUAGGGUAUGUAAAGCUCUGUCAGCCAGGGAGAAAAUGCCGGGACCUGACCAAGGAGCACCGUCUAAAUACGUGACGGCAGCCGCGGUAAGACGGAGGCAGCCAGCGUUAUACGGAGUAACUGGGUGUAAAGGGAGCGUAGACGGCAGGGCAGGUCUGGAGGGAAAGGCGGGGGCUCAACCCCCGGACUGCCGUGGAAACUGCCAGGCUGGAGUGCAGGAGAGGUAAGCGGAAUGCGUAGUGUAGCGGUGAAAUGCGUAGAUAUCAGGAGGAACACCAGUGGCGAAGGCGGCUUACUGG